rnacentral:rRNA from 1 species
UACGGAGGGGGUUAGCGUUGUUCGGAAUUACUGGGCGUAAAGCGCACGUAGGCGGAUCAGAAAGUUGGGGGUGAAAUCCCGGGGCUCAACCCCGGAACUGCCUCCAAAACUCCUGGUCUUGAGUUCGAGAGAGGUAAGUGGAAUUCCGAGUGUAGAGGUGAAAUUCGUAGAUAUUCGGAGGAACACCAGUGGCGAAGGCGACUUACUGGCUCGAUACUGACGCUGAGGUGCGAAAGUGUGGGGAGCAAACAGG